rnacentral:misc_RNA from 1 species
AAUAAGUGUUUUAUGGCACUUUAAAAAAAUCCAUAUCCACCUUGUGUGAAAUGUCUGUCGCUUGCUAGCUUUCUUUCUUCGGAAAGAGAAGAGGCGACUCUACAUCAACUCAUUUUAAAUACUUUGUCUGAAAACUAUUAUGAAUAAACUAAUUCAAAAUACAACUUUCAACAACGGAUCUCUUGGCUCU